AUGAUUAUAUGUGUACUGUUGUAGCACAGUGUGUGUGUGUAUAUAUAUAUAUAGGCUGGGGCUACUAUACUCUUAUGAGUAUAGACCUCCUUAUGCUCAUAAUUUUUUAACCGUUGAAUGAUGGGAUGUGUGAUUAGAAUGAUGGUGGUUCCCACUUAAAAUGAUAGGGAUUGAGUGGGUAGUUGGUUAAAUAGUAUGAUCUAACGGAUGAAAAUGAUUAAUGAAAUAAAUUUAAGAGCCGAAAACUUAUGAGUAUAAGGGAGCCAAUAUUCAUAAGAGUAUAGUAGCCAGACUCUCUAUAUAUAUAGAGCUAGCCUCCUAUACUAUCUAUAGUACUGGAGCUUCGGUACUAUAAUCUCGUUUUUUAUCUUAGGUUGUUCAAAUCAACGAUCCACACCGUUAAAACUGAUUUAGGGUAUUUAAAGUUUUUAAAAAUAAAAUUUUAUAUUUUUUCGAUAUAGUUUACUUUAUGAUUAAACUAUUUCAAAAUUGUCAAUUUUCAAUGGCUCUAUGGCGAGUUUGGAGUUUAACGGUGUAGAAAAAUCUAAAUUUCUUCAAAUUUUGAUAGAAAAUACUUUAAACUAUCUAGAUUAAGGUUAACAUUCUUCAUCUUGAAUUUAAAAGCUCUAUGCUCAAAUUUUAAAGAUUAUUCAAUUUUCACCAUCCAUUUUGACAUAAUUUAUUUACUAAGUAAACGAUGUCAAAAAAAAUUAAAAUUUUAUUCCUAAAAACUUCAUAUACCUUAGAUCAUAUUUAACGGUGUGGAUCGUUAAUUUGAACAUCUUAAGAUCGAAAACAAGACUAUAGUAUCGGAGCUCCGAUACUAUAGAUAGUAUAGUAGUCUAAUUAUAUAUAUAUAUAUAUUGUUUAACUAACCUUUAAU
rnacentral:lncRNA from 1 species